UGCAGUCGAGCGGUAGAGAGAAGCUUGCUUCUCUUGAGAGCGGCGGACGGGUGAGUAAUGCCUAGGAAUCUGCCUGGUAGUGGGGGAUAACGUUCGGAAACGGACGCUAAUACCGCAUACGUCCUACGGGAGAAAGCAGGGGACCUUCGGGCCUUGCGCUAUCAGAUGAGCCUAGGUCGGAUUAGCUAGUUGGUGAGGUAAUGGCUCACCAAGGCGACGAUCCGUAACUGGUCUGAGAGGAUGAUCAGUCACACUGGAACUGAGACACGGUCCAGACUCCUACGGGAGGCAGCAGUGGGGAAUAUUGGACAAUGGGCGAAAGCCUGAUCCAGCCAUGCCGCGUGUGUGAAGAAGGUCUUCGGAUUGUAAAGCACUUUAAGUUGGGAGGAAGGGUUGUAGAUUAAUACUCUGCAAUUUUGACGUUACCGACAGAAUAAGCACCGGCUAACUCUGUGCCAGCAGCCGCGGUAAUACAGAGGGUGCAAGCGUUAAUCGGAAUUACUGGGCGUAAAGCGCGCGUAGGUGGUUUGUUAAGUUGGAUGUGAAAUCCCCGGGCUCAACCUGGGAACUGCAUUCAAAACUGACUGACUAGAGUAUGGUAGAGGGUGGUGGAAUUUCCUGUGUAGCGGUGAAAUGCGUAGAUAUAGGAAGGAACACCAGUGGCGAAGGCGACCACCUGGACUAAUACUGACACUGAGGUGCGAAAGCGUGGGGAGCAAACGAAAUUAGAUACCCUGGUAGUCCACGCCGU
rnacentral:rRNA from 1 species